GGGGUUCCGAACGAGAUCGAAGCACCCCGUCGGAAUUUAAAGUUUUGGAAAUGUUGCAGAUUUUCUGCAAUAAAUUGCAGAAAAUCAGCCACAUUUCCCAAACUUCAAACUCUCAUCUCUCUCUCAUCUCUCAACCGAUUUGGGUGAUCCAAAAGGCUAAGUUGUGAGAUUUUUCGAGGGCAACGUGUUGGUGAGCUCGGAUAGUGAUUUGGAGUCCCCGUUUGAGCGGGGAAGCGUUUCGAGACCUUUCGGAAAGGAAAAUCUCCGGAGGAGUGAUUUUGGAGCGCGUGUGAUCGGCUUUAAGGUCCGGGCACUAGUAGCCAGCGUUGAUCGAGCUUGGAGCAGACUGAUCCGGAGACGGGAGUGAGCACACGACGUUUUGUACUAUUUCAGUCUCCAUCUGUAUAUAUAGACUUGUCUUUUACCUUUCGAGACAGUCCAGUCUCUGUUGUCCACUUUUGGGACUUGUACUCAUUUUGUUAGUAGCUCUGUACCAGUGACUUCCAGGUUCUGGGAGGGAUCUUUAUUUGUAUAUAUGUUUUUGGUUU